UCCCCUAUGCUUGCCUACGGGAGGCAGCAGUAGGGAAUCUUCCGCAAUGGACGAAAGUCUGACGGAGCAACGCCGCGUGAGUGAUGAAGGCUUUCGGGUCGUAAAACUCUGUUGUUAGGGAAGAACAAGUACAAGAGUAACUGCUUGUACCUUGACGGUACCUAACCAGAAAGCCACGGCUAACUACGUGCCAGCAGCCGCGGUAAUACGUAGGUGGCAAGCGUUAUCCGGAAUUAUUGGGCGUAAAGCGCGCGCAGGCGGUUUCUUAAGUCUGAUGUGAAAGCCCACGGCUCAACCGUGGAGGGUCAUUGGAAACUGGGGAACUUGAGUGCAGAAGAGAAAAGCGGAAUUCCACGUGUAGCGGUGAAAUGCGUAGAGAUGUGGAGGAACACCAGUGGCGAAGGCGGCUUUUUGGUCUGUAACUGACGCUGAGGCGCGAAAGCGUGGGGAGCAAACAGGAUUAGAUACCCUGGUAGUCCACGCCGUAAACGAUGAGUGCUAAGUGUUAGAGGGUUUCCGCC
rnacentral:rRNA from 2 species